rnacentral:tRNA from 1 species
GCAGCCGUGGCCUACUGGUUAGGGCUUCGGGCUUGUAACCGGAGGGUUACUGGUUCGAUCCACGACCAGUUGCU